GUAGGUGGCAAGCGUUGUCCGGAAUUAUUGGGCGUAAAGCGCGCGCAGGCGGUUCUUUAAGUCUGAUGUGAAAGCCCACGGGCUCAACCGUGGAGGGUCAUUGUAAACUGGAGAACUUGAGUACAGAAGAGGAAAGCGGAAUUCCACGUGUAGCGGUGAAAUGCGUAGAGAUGUGGAGGAACACCAGUGGCGAAGGCGGCUUUCUGGUCUGUAACUGACGCUGAGGCGCGAAAGCGUGGGGAGCAAACAGGAUUAGAUACCCUGGUAGUCCACGCCGUAAACGAUGAGUGCUAAGUGUUAGGGGGUUUCCGCCCCUUAGUGCUGCAGCUAACGCAUUAAGCACUCCGCCUGGGGAGUACGGCCGCAAGGCUG
rnacentral:rRNA from 1 species